CAGGGACUGUGAGUGGAUGGAGAUCCUGGUCCUCCUCAGCUGUGAGUUCUUCCUCUGUCAUGAGAACCUCAGGGGGAGAACAUGUGCUCACUCUCAGCUGCUUUAACAGGAAAGAAGCUCUUUUAGAUCAAAGCUGAGAAACUGUUUGUAACAGCGAACUCUGUCACCUUUCUCUCCUCAGCCUGCUGCUGGACAGGCCCAUGAAGCUCUGCUGUAAAGGCUUCCAUGUCCCAGGCUUCACCUUUACCUGCUGACCAACGGGAGGCGUGGCCAAAACAGCGAUGGGGAGUGGAGCAGCAGGUAGCAGAGCUUUUAUACACUGACAGUAACACAAAACUCCAAAGUCAUCAUUUGAGGAGCUUCUUAAGAGUUUCUGUGAGUUUAGUGAAGUCAGCCUCUCAACAAUAAGUGUGUGUGUGUUGAUUAUCUAAUGUUCAGAGAGGACUGCACUGAUGUAGCAUCCAGGUGAGCAGCU
ensembl:lncRNA